GACAGUUAUUUGCUGCUACCUUCAUUGCAAUAGGAAACGUGCAGUUCAGGUAAUUGAAAUUUUUUCAUUUAAUGUUAAAUGUUUGGCAAACCAGAGCAAACUUUUUAAAAUCAUGUUCUUUAAUUCUACUCUGCAGAAAUGGAUCAGUCAUCAAUAUCGUGCAAUCUCAGUUUUCAAAGGGGAAUAACACUCCUAAUAGCGCUGAAGUAGAGGAGGGUUUAGUGACUGCUUCUCAAAAUGUCACUGGCUUUGACAUUGAAACGAGCUCCAUCAUUGUCAAUUCCAUCCUUACUGUGGAAUCAACAAUACCUUCAACAACGACACUAUUAAGUACCUCUGCUGCUACCAUGACAUCAAUUAUUCCUACAACAACGUCACAAGAAAUUUUAUCAACAAAUCCACUUGAAACAUCAUCAAUUACUUCUGAAGAAUCCAUAACAACUACAUCAAAUCCUUCACUGAGCACAACUCUAGCAACAUUUACAACAUCUGGUCAAGCUCCAAGUAAAGCAGAAACUACAACAGGAGCACAAGAAACUUUGACAUCUCUUUUGACAGCAACCACAUCAAAAACCACACCAAUUACUUUAACUAACCCAACAGCGGAAACUACAACAUUUGAAAGAACAACACCAUUUAGUUCAACAUUUGUUGGACAGACCACAACAGCUCCAUUGACUGCAACAACUCCUCAAACAACAGCCAGAGUUUCUGAACCAACAGAUACAACAUCGUCCACUCUUGAUCUAACAGCUGAGACAACAUCUGUGAUAACAACUGAUGCUUUAACCACUACUGCUUCUUUGACAUCACCUCCUCAAACAACAACAGGAAGACCUUCAACAAUUGCUUCAACAACUGCACUACUAAGUACACCUGCUGCUACCAUGACGUCAACAAAAAAUCCUACAACAACGCCACAAGAAACUUUAUCAACAAAUCCAGUUGAAACAUUAGGUCCAACAACAUCUUUGUUAUCGACAUCAUCAAUUACUUUUGAAGAAUCCAUAACAACUACAACAAAUCCUUCACUGAGCACAACUCUAGCAACAUUUACAACAUCUGGUCCAGCUGCAACUACAGCAGAAACUACAACAGGAGCAACUGUCAUCAUCUACUACAUGACAUUUACAUCCCUUCACAGCACUUUUACAAACGACCUUUUGGAUCCAUCAUCUGCUGCGUAUCAAGCUAGAGUCCAAAUGAUCACCUCAGAGUUGGAAAAUUACUUCCGACAGUUAUUUGCUGCUACCUUCAUUGCAAUAGGAAACGUGCAGUUCAGGUAAUUGAAAUUUUUUCAUUUAAUGUUAAAUGUUUGGCAAACCAGAGCAAACUUUUUAAAAUCAUGUUCUUUAAUUCUACUCUGCAGAAAUGGAUC
rnacentral:lncRNA from 1 species